AACAACACGCGUAGAUGACGAACCUUCCGCGACCUCGGGCGUCAGUCUCGCCCGGAUCUCCGUCGCGACGAAUUAUUCCCAGCGGUGUGAGUUUCGAGUGCCGAUAUCCGCGUGAAUUUUUGAUUUUUCCCUGAGAUCGGUUCUCAUUAUCGCCGCAGCGAGAAACGUGCCACUUCGCUCGCGCGUAUAAUUCACGAGAUGGUGCUACCGGAAGAAAAAUCGAAGGGACGCGUCUCGUUCGACGUGGAGCCGACAAAAUGGCCGCUGGAAGGUUCGAGCCGGUAAGAAUAGGAUCGUCCGCAUGGGAAUUACGCGGCCCCAGUUCGAUAACGAGAGAGCUACCCGAGGAUGAGCAACGCUUUUGACUUUUAGAAACGCUGCGGAUACUUUAUCCGACCGGAGAAUUAUUCUAACAAGCGAACGGCGGCGAUCGGAAACAGUUCUUCGGGGAGACGUUUCCUCCGCAAGGUAUUGGGAGAGUCGUAGAGGUACAACGAACCGGAAGUGCAGUGAUAGUUUCCGUUAGAACGCGAAAAUCCGAGUGAAACCGUUCGAUGAUCCUUCGCCGGUCCGUUAUCUCGCGCUAACCGCCGUCGCCGGUUUUGUUCUCGUCAGCCGCCCGCCUUUUCGCUGAUGAAUCCUUCGCAUAAUUAAACGGACACGAUCUUCGGUGGCUCGUUUAAUUAACGACAAUUAACGGGAGGAGCAAUUACGAGGAGCGAGGGAUGACGAGCAGGAACCGGAAGCCGCCAUCCGAAGCCUCCUUAAAGCAGCCUGACAGGAUCGCAACGUGGUACCGCGAAGACCUCAACGAACAGAG